rnacentral:misc_RNA from 1 species
CACGGCAGGAUUCAAAUAUUCCCUUCCAAUUGUAGAGAUGUCCAAAAAUAGGCCUUCAACUACUUUCUUUGCCUUAUUAUCAUUUGUGGCCAACAUUUGACAGAUAUCUGUAGAAAUCCAUAAUCGGUUACCCUUCCGCCGAGCAAUAUCUUGACCCAUUUCCACUAUCAAAUCGUGCAUCUCUAGCUUGCCAUGCACAAUAGUUAUGAGACAGUGAUCCACUAGACGAAUUAUUGCCCAAUCGUCUAAUAUAUCUUCUACCCAGCUUUUGUCAUAUCCUUUGAAGAAACAUGCAAUAUCUAGAAAUAUGCUCUUUUCCGUUCUAUCUAAAGCAUUAUAACUUAUUUUUAAGACUUUCGUAAUCUUGCAGUCAGGAAAUCUCUUCAGUUUAGUCAAUGCACUUUCCCAUUCUUCAGGAGUCCUUUUGCACAAAUAGGAACCCAAAACUUUGAGAGCUAAUGGAACACCUUCACAAUAAGUUUGUACCCUUUCGGACAAC